rnacentral:rRNA from 1 species
AUGCCGCCGCCGCCGCCGCCAUCGCUGCCGGACGAGCUCCUCGAGGAGAUCUUCCUCCGCCUCCCGCCGGACGAGCCCGCGCACCUCCUGCGCGCCUCCCUCGCCAGCAAGCUCUGGCUCGGCCUCCUCUCGUCCCCUCGCUUCCGCGGUCGCUACCACGAGCACCAUGGAGCUCCCCCCAUGCUGGGUUUCCUUCAUACCUGGCACUACGGCUCCCACCCCACCAAGGUAGAAGACCCCAUCCCAUACUUCAAAUCCACCGCCAAAUUCGGCGCGCGCAUUCCCGACGACGAAUGGGGGGACAUUUACUACACUGCGUGGGACUGCCGCCAUGGCCGCGUCCUCCUAGACUGCUUUGAUGCAUAUCAGUUACGUACGGCUCUCGUCGUUUGGGACCCCAUGACCGGCUGCCGGAGGGAGCUACCCCGCCCCUGGAUCUGGGACCGCCGCCGCGCCGCCGCCGUGCUCUGUGCCGUGAGCGGCUGUGACCACCGCACUUGUCACUCGGCUCCCUUCCAGCUGGUCUUUGUCGGCCUGGAUGAGGAUGAUCAUGAUGAUUGUGUUGCACGCGCCUGUGUGUCCUUGCCAGAGACCGGUGAUUGGAGCAAGCCCGUCCCUCAAUUCGAUGCGUGGGUCAAGCCAUGCCCUGAUCUUCAUCUUCCAGCCGAUGCAUCCAUCAAGCCAAUGCCCCCUCUCCUUGUCGAAGGAGCACUUCACUUCAUGCUUAAGUAUGUUGAUGACGACGGUGCAGAAAUUCUCAAGUACGACUUGACCUCUAAUAGCUUAUCACUGAUUGAUGCACCGGUUCAGUAUUCUCACACUAUCAGUGCCCCUAUCCUCAUGGCGAUGGAGGAUGGCAGCUUGGGGUUUGCACAUGUGGAUAAGCUAACCCUCUACAUAUGGUCAAGACUGAUGGAUUCCAACAGAGUUGCGUCAUGGAGUCAAUGUAGAAUUACCAAUCUCAGCAGCCUUCUACCCAUCCAAAAUCCCGAGGAAAUUUACCUUAUACUGGUUGGAUCAGUGGAGGGCAGUGAUACCGUUUUCGUGACCACAGAUCUGGGCAUCUACGAGAUUAAUGUCAAGUCGCAGCGAUGGAAGAAGAUAUGGAAGAGAGAAAUUUUCCGUGCUUUGAUUCCAUACAUGAGUUUCUACAAUCCACAAGAAAGGGUGACGCCCACUCCCUGUGACGCAGCACAUUGA